CAUUAACGAGUUAGGGUCUUCUAGGCCCGACCUCCCAACCCUAUGUUUAUUGAACCUCUGUUGCUUCGGCGGACCCGCCUCACGGCCGCCGGAGGACCGCUGCAAGGCGUCCUCUGGUCAGCGCCCGCCGAUGGCCAACCACUUAAACUCUGAAUGAAUCGUGUCAUAUGUCUAAGUCCAUGAUUAAAUUAAAGCAAAACUUUCAACAACGGAUCUCUUGGUUCUGGCAUCGAUGAAGAACGCAGCGAAAUGCGAUAAGUAAUGCGAAUUGCAGAAUUCCAGUGAGUCAUCGAAUCUUUGAACGCACAUUGCGCCCUUUGGUAUUCCGAAGGGCAUGCCUGUUCGAGCGUCAUUAUCACCCCUCAAGCCCUGUGCUUGGUGUUGGACGGCUGGUCGAGCGAUCGACCCCUCCUAAAGACAAUGACGGCGGCCUGUGGUUCCCCCGGUACACUGAGCUUUUAACUGAGCACGUAUCGGACAAGGGCACCCGGGACCCGGUGCCUCUCCUUUAGCUAGGAAACUUCUAAGGUUGACCUCGGAUCAGGUAGGAAUACGCGC
rnacentral:rRNA from 1 species